rnacentral:rRNA from 2 species
AGAGUUUGAUCAUGGCUCAGAUUGAACGCUGGCGGCAGGCCUAACACAUGCAAGUCGAACGGUAACAGGAAGCAGCUUGCUGCUUUGCUGACGAGUGGCGGACGGGUGAGUAAUGUCUGGGAAACUGCCUGAUGGAGGGGGAUAACUACUGGAAACGGUGGCUAAUACCGCAUAACGUCGCAAGACCAAAGAGGGGGACCUUCGGGCCUCUUGCCAUCAGAUGUGCCCAGAUGGGAUUAGCUUGUUGGUGAGGUAACGGCUCACCAAGGCGACGAUCCCUAGCUGGUCUGAGAGGAUGACCAGCCACACUGGAACUGAGACACGGUCCAGACUCCUACGGGAGGCAGCAGUGGGGAAUAUUGCACAAUGGGCGCAAGCCUGAUGCAGCCAUGCCGCGUGUAUGAAGAAGGCCUUCGGGUUGUAAAGUACUUUCAGCGGGGAGGAAGGUGUUGUGGUUAAUAACCGCAGCAAUUGACGUUACCCGCAGAAGAAGCACCGGCUAACUCCGUGCCAGCAGCCGCGGUAAUACGGAGGGUGCAAGCGUUAAUCGGAAUUACUGGGCGUAAAGCGCACGCAGGCGGUCUGUCAAGUCGGAUGUGAAAUCCCCGGGCUCAACCUGGGAACUGCAUUCGAAACUGGCAGGCUUGAGUCUUGUAGAGGGGGGUAGAAUUCCAGGUGUAGCGGUGAAAUGCGUAGAGAUCUGGAGGAAUACCGGUGGCGAAGGCGGCCCCCUGGACAAAGACUGACGCUCAGGUGCGAAAGCGUGGGGAGCAAACAGGAUUAGAUACCCUGGUAGUCCACGCCGUAAACGAUGUCUACUUGGAGGUUGUGCCCUUGAGGCGUGGCUUCCGGAGCUAACGCGUUAAGUAGACCGCCUGGGGAGUACGGCCGCAAGGUUAAAACUCAAAUGAAUUGACGGGGGCCCGCACAAGCGGUGGAGCAUGUGGUUUAAUUCGAUGCAACGCGAAGAACCUUACCUGGUCUUGACAUCCACAGAACUUUCCAGAGAUGGAUUGGUGCCUUCGGGAACUGUGAGACAGGUGCUGCAUGGCUGUCGUCAGCUCGUGUUGUGAAAUGUUGGGUUAAGUCCCGCAACGAGCGCAACCCUUAUCCUUUGUUGCCAGCGGUCAGGCCGGGAACUCAAAGGAGACUGCCAGUGAUAAACUGGAGGAAGGUGGGGAUGACGUCAAGUCAUCAUGGCCCUUACGACCAGGGCUACACACGUGCUACAAUGGCGCAUACAAAGAGAAGCGACCUCGCGAGAGCAAGCGGACCUCAUAAAGUGCGUCGUAGUCCGGAUUGGAGUCUGCAACUCGACUCCAUGAAGUCGGAAUCGCUAGUAAUCGUGGAUCAGAAUGCCACGGUGAAUACGUUCCCGGGCCUUGUACACACCGCCCGUCACACCAUGGGAGUGGGUUGCAAAAGAAGUAGGUAGCUUAACCUUCGGGAGGGCGCUUACCACUUUGUGAUUCAUGACUGGGGUGAAGUCGUAACAAGGUAACCGUAGGGGAACCUGCGGUUGGAUCACCU